GAUGAACGCUGGCGGCGUGCCUAAUACAUGCAAGUCGAGCGAACUUUUGGGAGCUUGCUCCCAAAAGUUAGCGGCGGACGGGUGAGUAACACGUGGGUAACCUGCCUGUUAGACUGGGAUAAAUUCGGGAAACCGGAGCUAAAACCGGAUAACAUUGAAGUACACAUGGCCUUCAAUUAAAAAGUGGGUUUUAGCUUCCACUUACAGAUAGACCCGGGGCGCUUUAGUUAGUUGGUGAGGUAACGGCUCACCAAGGCGACGAUGCGUAGCCGGCCUGAGAGGGUGAUCGGCCACACUGGGACUGCGACACGGCCCAGACUCCUACGGGAGGCAGCAGUAGGGAAUCUUCGGCAAUGGACGAAAGUCUGACGGAGCAACGCCGCGGGAGCGAAGAAGGCCUUCGGGUCGUAAAGCUCUGUUGUUAGAGAAGAACAAGUAUCGUUCGAAUAAGGCGGUACCUUGACGGUACCUAACCAGAAAGCCACGGCUAACUACGUG
rnacentral:rRNA from 1 species